GCCAGUGUGGUAUAGUGGUUUGAGUGCUGGACUAUGAUUCUAGAGAUAAGGGUUCAAUUCCCAGCUUGGCCA
rnacentral:tRNA from 1 species